GUGUCAGCCGCCGCGGUAAAACGUAGGGGACAAGCGUUAUCCGGAUUUACUGGGCGUAAAGCGCCCGUAGGCGGCUUUUUAAGUUGGACGUGAAAGCUCCCGGCUUAACUGGGAGAGGCCGUUCAAAACUGAGAGGCUAGAGUGAGGCAGAGGAGCGCGGAAUUCCCGGUGUAGUGGUGGAAUGCGUAGAUAUCGGGAGGAACACCAGUGGCGAAAGCGGCGCUCUGGGCCUAAACUGACGCUGAGGGGCGAAAGCGUGGGGAGCGAACGGGAUUAGAUACCCCCGUAGUCC
rnacentral:rRNA from 1 species